rnacentral:misc_RNA from 1 species
GAUGAAGAACGUAGCGAAAUGCGAUAAGUAAUGUGAAUUGCAGAAUUCAGUGAAUCAUCGAGUCUUUGAACGCACAUUGCGCCCCCUGGUAUUCCGGGGGGCAUGCCUGUCCGAGCGUCAUUGCCGCCCUCAAGCACGGCUUGUGUGUUGGGCCCCCGCCCCCCGGCUUCGGGGGGCGGGCCCGAAAGGCAGCGGCGGCACCGCGUCCGGUCCUCGAGCGUAUGGGGCUUCGUCACCCGCUCUGUAGGCCCGGCCGGCGCCCGCCGGCGACCCCAAUCAAUCUUUCCAGGUUGACCACGGAUCAGGUAGGGAUACCCGCUGAACUUAAGCAUAUCAAUAAGCGGAGGA